AACACCACAGCCUCCCUCCCCGGUUGCCUUACUCACCCCAAUUAUUUCCCGGGACCUUAGCUUUGAGGGAUUCUUUCUCCCCCGCGCUCUGUUUUCUAGUCAGGCUCCUCGCUAACCUUCCCUUCACUGCAGGCGAUGGCAUAUCCAUUGUGUAAUAAACACAUGGAGGUAUUCAUGUUGCCCUCGGUGCCUGUGUUCUGUGCCGUCAUCAGGAUGAAGGCUCCCGACAGUUGAGUUUAUGAUCCUAGGUGACAGAGUGGUGGGCAGAUGGAAGUUCAUCUGAGAAGCUCUGGCUCAUUGAGCUGCAGUGUGACUGCCCAGAGUCUCCCUCCAUCCAUCCUCCAUCCAUCCAUCCUCCCUCCAUCUUCCACCCUCCAUCUCCCAGCUGCCCUGUACUCUCCUCCAUCACUGAUGGCCGAUCCUGUCAGUGGCGCCCUUGAGAACAAAGUGUAAUACAGUGUCUAGGACAGAAACGACUGCCAAGACCUUUGACCCCCUCCCUGCCUUUUUUUUU